CGAUCUCGGAACCGGGAGAGGUGAGGGGGUACUUCGGGGGGUAGGAGUGAAAUCCUGUAAUCCUCGAGGGACCACCUGUGGCGAAGGCGCCUCACCAGAACGGCUUCGACAGUGAGGGACGAAAGCUGGGGGAGCAAACCGGAUUAGAUACCCGGGUAGUCCCAGCCGUAAACGAUGUGCGUUAGGUGUAUCGACGACCACGAGUCGUCGAGGUGCCGAAGGGAAACCGUGAAACGUACCGCCUGGGAAGUACGGUCGCAAGGCUGAAACUUAAAGGAAUUGGCGGGGGAGCACCACAACAGGUGGAGCCUGCGGGUUUUUAAAAUUGGACUCAACGCCGGGAAGCUCACCGGAUAAGACAGCUGAAUGAUUGCCGGGCUGAAGACUCUGCAUGACUAGCUGAGUAGAGGUGCAUGG
rnacentral:rRNA from 1 species